rnacentral:rRNA from 1 species
UACGAAGGGUGCAAGCGUUAAUCGGAAUUACUGGGCGUAAAGCGUGCGUAGGCGGUUGCUUAAGUCAGAUGUGAAAGCCCUGGGCUCAACCUGGGAAUGGCAUUUGAAACUGGGCAGCUAGAGUGUGAUAGAGGAUGGCGGAAUUCCCGGUGUAGCGGUGAAAUGCGUAGAGAUCGGGAGGAACAUCCGUGGCGAAGGCGGCCAUCUGGAUCAACACUGACGCUGAGGCACGAAAGCGUGGGGAGCAAACAGGG